rnacentral:lncRNA from 1 species
GGGAGGCACUGCGGGGAGCUCGGCAGCCCUGGGCGGGAGGUCAGGCCCCAGCUCUGCCUCUGUCCUUGCACCCCUUGACUGGCUGCUCCUCUCUCUCCCUCAGUGCCCAGCCUUGCCCGAGGCCACCCCAGAACGGUGCUGGCUGCUGGUCCUUGGGCAGCUGUGCUCUCUUCCCCAGCCCUGCCCCACUCACUUGCUGAUGCAGUGGGCGGCCGUGAGCACCCACUGAGGGUCCACCAGGACGGCCCCGCACUGGAUGUUGCUGAAGUGGUACAAAGCCGCCUGCCAGGGCUGGGAAGCCUUCGGACAGCUCUGGCCUCCUACGAUUCGGGACUGGAUGCUAAAACCUCAGUGGUUGGAUAAUGAUGUGAUGUCCCAGGGCAGGAUAACAUCAGCUGAAGACAUCCUGGGGAGGAACAAAAUCUUCAUCUGCAUAAGUUCCUCCUUGUCCUAGGAUUAUCACUGCAGCCCUCUGAGUCGUCUGUUACUCCCGAUGUACCAAAUAAAGAUGUGGCAAGCUCGGGUCUUUCAUCUUUGCUGUCCAGAGCAGCACUGAUCAGGCCCAAAGCUCAGCUUCUCCUCUAAGUCUCAUUUUCUGUCUUACUUCACUAAUUCACCUUAUGCUGUCAUGGCUCACAGGAGACCAGGACUCUCUGCAGUGGUCCUAGCAGCAUUCCCUUUCCCUGUUCCCGUUUAGACCCCAUACAUAAGGACCCAGUGUGCCCUCA